GAGAGAGAAGCAUAAGUGGUUAAUGCGGCUGGCUUGAAACCAGUGUAUGGGGGUUCGAUUCCUUCCUUUCUUG
rnacentral:tRNA from 1 species